rnacentral:rRNA from 1 species
AUACGUAGGUGACAAGCGUUAUCCGGAUUUACUGGGUGUAAAGGGCGUGUAGGCGGUUUAGCAAGUCAGAAGUGAAAUUCCCGGGCUUAACUUGGGCGCUGCUUCUGAAACUGCUUUACUUGAGUGCUGGAGAGGAUAGUGGAAUUCCUAGUGUAGCGGUAAAAUGCGCAGAUAUUAGGAGGAACACCGGUGGCGAAGGCGGCUAUCUGGACAGUAACUGACGCUGAGGCGCGAAAGCACGGGGAGCAAACAGGAUUAGAUACCCUGGUAGUCCGUGCCGUAAACGAUGAAUACUAGGUGUAGGGGGUAUCGACUCCCUCUGUGCCGCAGCUAACACAUUAAGUAUUCCACCUGGGGAGUACGACCGCAAGGUUGAAACUCAAAGGAAUUGACGGGG